rnacentral:ncRNA from 1 species
CUUAUCAAGAGAAGUCGAGGGACUGGCCCGAUGAAGCUUCAGCAACCAACGUAACGUAAGGUGCUAAAUCCAGCAGGCGUUAUGCCGAAAGAUAAGG